rnacentral:rRNA from 1 species
GUAGGGGGCAAGCGUUGUCCGGAUUCAUUGGGCGUAAAGAGCGUGUAGGCGGCCAGGUAGGUCGGUUGUGAAAACUGGAGGCUCAACCUUCAGAGGUCGACCGAAACCAUCUGGCUAGAGUCCGGGAGAGGAGAGUGGAAUUCCUGGUGUAGCGGUGAAAUGCGCAGAUAUCAGGAAGAACACCCGUGGCGAAAGCGGCUCUCUGGAACGGUACUGACGCUGAGACGCGAAAGCGUGGGGAGCGAACAGGAUUAGAUACCCUGGUAGUCCACGCCGUAAACGAUGGGCGCUAGGUGUGGGAGGUGUCGACUCCUUCCGUGCCGCAGCUAACGCAUUAAGCGCCCCGCCUGGGGAGUACGGCCGCAAGGCUA